AAAGGUGAGUAAGGGGUGAGGUAAACUGGGAGUAACUGGGAGUAAACUGGGAUGAACUGGGAGUAAACUGGGAGGAAACUGGGAUUAAACUGGGAGGGAAAAUGGGGAGUAAGGGCUGAGUAACAGGUGAGUAAAGGGGGAGUAAGGGGUGAGGUAAACUGGGAGUAAACUGGGAUGAACUGGGAUGAACUGGGAGGGAAAACGGGGAGUAAGGGCUGAGUAACAGGUGAGUAAGGGGUGAGGUAAACUGGGAGAAACUGGGAGGAAACUGGGAUUAAACUGGGAGGGAAAAGUGGGAGUAAAGGCUGAGUAAAGGCUGAGUAAAGGGUGAGUAAAGGGGGAGUAAAGGGGGAGUAAAG